AGUGUGGUGAGCGUGGACUUUGGGACGGCGCCGAUGACGCUCUCCUUCUUCUCGCCGGCCUUGAAGAUGAGCACGGUGGGGAUGCUGCGGAUGCCGUAGGUGGACGCCACGUUGGGGCUCUCGUCCGUGUUCACCUUGCAGCACGUGAUCUUGCCGGCGUAGUCCUUGGCCAGCUCGUCGAUCACCGGCGCGAUCAUCCUGCACGGCCCGCACCACGGCGCCCAGAACUCCACCAGCACCGGCGUCUCGCACGCCAUCACCA
rnacentral:lncRNA from 1 species